GAUGAACGCUGGCGGCGUGCCUAAUACAUGCAAGUCGAGCGAACAGAUGAGGAGCUUGCUCCUCUGACGUUAGCGGCGGACGGGUGAGUAACACGUGGAUAACCUACCUAUAAGACUGGGAUAACUUCGGGAAACCGGAGCUAAUACCGGAUAAUAUAUUGAACCGCAUGGUUCAAUAGUGAAAGACGGUUUUGCUGUUACUUCUAGAUGGAUCCGCGCCGCAUUAGCUAGUUGGUAAGGUAACGGCUUACCAAGGCAACGAUGCGUAGCCGACCUGAGAGGGUGAUCGGCCACACUGGAACGGAGACACGGUCCAGGGUCCUGCGGGACGCAGCAGUAGGGAAUCGGCCGCAGUGGGCGGAAGCCUGGCGGAGCAACGCCGCGUGAGUGGUGAAGGUCUUCGGAUCGUAAAGCUCUGUUAUUAGUGAAGAACAAAUGUGUAAGUAACUAUGCACUUCUUGACGGUACCUAAUCAGAAAGCCACGGCUAACUACGUG
rnacentral:rRNA from 1 species